ACAUAAGAAGAAGCAGAAAUAGAAAAAAGUAGUUCCUUCAUUCUCAUGGCACACACUAACAGUACAAGAUGGCCAAUGGUGGUGCGCUCCAUGGCUAUUGCUUUCCUGGUGCUGGCCAUGAUGUUUUUUACCUUCCCAUCCUGCCAUGCGCGCACUCCUGCAUCUACAAAAUAUUUAUAUCAUGGAUUUUGCAAGACUCUCAAUCCCUGCAAUAAGGACAGCUGCUAUGAUCUGUGUACAAGUAAAAGACAAAACUACGCAUAUUCCUAUUGCAAGGACGAUGUUAAGAUUCCAACGUGUUGCUGCACAUACACUGAUGGUUCUCCUGCUUGAGUCAUACAAUGUUGAAUACAUUUAUAUUUGAUUUCAAUAAAGAUGUUUUUAAUCAA